ensembl:ncRNA C09B7.4 ncRNA
AAAAUCUGACAUUUUUGCAAACUUUUUUUUUUGUUGCAGCAGUUGGUACAAAGAUAAUUUGGCGAAAUUUCAGUUUUCAGCAAAUUUGGCUCUUUUUUCCAACAUUUUUCAAAUUUUUUUGAGAAGUCUCAUUAUAAAAUUUAGUUGUUUUGAAUUACUUCUAGUAUAGUUAAGCAAAAUGCCCACAAACUCUAAUCUCCCUUAAACAAUAUUCGAAUAAAAAAUAGUUUAGCACUUUGGUUUUUUUUUCGAGUUUUUUUGGGAGAAACUUUUACGAUGUUGCCUUGAGAUUUUGUGUGGGCGCCCAUUUCACAGUAAUUUGAGAUUCUGGGA